GUCCGCCCUGACUCCCGCAGUCCCUCGGCACGGCCGCGGCUCUCCUCACUGCUGUUCUCUGUGCUGCUGGGUUAUGCCGCCUUCACCGGUUCCAGAAGGCUGGGCAGACCGCUCAGAGUCCAGCCGGGCCACGGGGAUGACCUGCCACGGUUCGGUUCUCAGGAACUCCGCCAGGCGAGAGGGGACGGUUUCAGCCGGUGUUGCAUCGGGGACAAUGCUGACUGCCUGGCUCCCCAAGUUCACCCGCACCCUGGGACCCAGGAGGCUCAAAGGGGCAGGCGCUCCGACGGGACCUGAGAUCGUCAGCGGCAGCGAGAGGCUCUCCCUCCGGCUCCAUCCGAACAGCAGACACUGUGGAGGAGGCUUUUUAACUGCUUUAUCAUGUUUGGGGAAAUCAGUGCAUGGUGGUUUUACACUAAAUUUAAAAGCUCAGAAGAGAAGGGUGCCCAGCUGGCUCAUUCGGAAGAGCGUGUGACUCUGUCUUGGGGUGGUGAUUUCCAGCCUCACGUUGGGUACAGAGGUUACU